rnacentral:rRNA from 1 species
ACGAACGUUGGCGGCGUGCUUAACACAUGCAAGUCGAACGGUAGAGGGGCAACCCUUGAGAGUGGCGAACGGGUGAGUAAUGCAUCGGAACGUGCCCAGUCGUGGGGGAUAACGCAGCGAAAGCUGUGCUAAUACCGCAUGUGAUCUGUGGAUGAAAGCAGGGGACCGCAAGGCCUUGUGCGAUUGGAGCGGCCGAUGUCAGAUUAGCUAGUUGGUAGGGUAAAAGCCUACCAAGGCGACGAUCUGUAGCUG